UACGUAGGGUGCGAGCGUUGUCCGGAAUCAUUGGGCGUAAAGCGCGCGUAGGUGGCCUCGUAAGUCCGCUGUGAAAGUCAAAGGCUCAACCUUUGAAAGCCGGUGGAUACUGUGAGGCUAGAGUACGGAAGAGGCGAGUGGAAUUCCUGGUGUAGCGGUGGAAUGCGCAGAUAUCAGGAGGAACACCAAUAGCGAAGGCAGCUCGCUGGGACGUUACUGACACUGAGGCGCGAAAGCGUGGGGAGCGAACAGG
rnacentral:rRNA from 1 species